rnacentral:rRNA from 1 species
AGCAGUCGCCACGGUAACACGUAGGGGGCGAGCGUUGUCCGAAGUUACUGGGCGUAAAGAGCGCGUAGGCUGGUCUUUAAGUGAGUGGUGAAAGGUUCGGGCUCAACCCGGACACUGCCUUUCAUACUGGGGACCUUGAGUGUGGGAGAGGCGAGUGGAAUGGUCGGUGUAGCGGUGAAAUGCGUUGAGAUCGGAAAGAACACCAACGGCGAAAGCACUCUGCUGGGCCGACACUGACACUGAGAGACGAAAGCUAGGGGAGCAAAUGGGAUUAGAUACCCCUGUAGUCCCUGUCUCUUAUAC